rnacentral:rRNA from 1 species
UACGAAGGAUGCAAGCGUUAUCCGGAUUUAUUGGGCUUAAAGGGCGCGUAGGCGGUCUUAUAAGUCGGUGGUGAAAUCUCGUUGCUUAACAACGAACGUGCCAUUGAUACUGUAGGACUUGAGUACAGAUGCCGUUGGCGGAAUGUGUCAUGUAGCGGUGAAAUGCAUAGAUAUGACACAGAACACCGAUUGCGAAGGCAGCUGACGAAACUGUAACUGACGCUGAGGCUCGAAAGCGUGGGGAUCAAACAGG